CCAGAACCUUGGGGAGGCAGCCGGAGGAGGGGUUCCUAAAGACUCAAAGGCGGCCUGACUUAUAAAAGAAGUAGAACACACAUGCUUCCCAUUAGGUGAGAAAGAAACAUGCCUGAGAGUCUAAUGGAUUACUCAAGUCUGUGCUGCCAAGGAAGAACAGAAUCUUUAGAUAUCAUGUGUUUUACAAAUUGAAGUUUGUGGAAACCCUGCAUCAAACAAGUCUAUUGGUGACAUUUUCCCAACAGCAUUUGCUCACUUUGUGUUUCUGUGUCACAUGUUGAUAAUUCUUACAAUAUUUGAAACCUUUUUUAUUAUUAUACAUGUUCUGGUGAUCUGUGAUCAGUGAUCUUUGAUGUUACUACUGUAAUUUUUUUGGAUGCUGUGAACUGUGCCCAUAUAAAAUGGUGAAUUAAAUCAA
rnacentral:lncRNA from 1 species